GACGAACGCUGGCGGCGUGCCUAAUACAUGCAAGUCGAGCGAGCAAUUUUAGCAGAAUACCUUCGGGUAGGAAGCUAAGAGCGCGAGCGGCGGAUGGGUGAGUAACACGUGGGCAACCUACCCUUUAGCCGGGGAUACCACUUGGAAACAGGUGCUAAUACCGAAUAAGAAGCAAGAGCGCAUGCUCAAGCUAUGAAAGGCGGCUUUAAGCUGCCACUAAAGGAUGGGCCCGCGGCGCAUUAGCUAGUUGGUAAGGUAACGGCUUACCAAGGCGAUGAUGCAUAGCCGAGUUGAGAGACUGAACGGCCACAUUGGGACUGAGACACGGCCCAAACUCCUACGGGAGGCAGCAGUAGGGAAUCUUCCACAAUGGACGCAAGUCUGAUGGAGCAACGCCGCGUGAGUGAAGAAGGUUUUCGGAUCGUAAAGCUCUGUUGUUGGCGAAGAAGGAUAAGGAUAGUAACUGAUUCAUAUUUGACGGUAAUCAACCAGAAAGUCACGGCUAACUACGUGCCAGCAGCCGCAGUAA
rnacentral:rRNA from 1 species